rnacentral:sRNA from 1 species
GGAUAUGGCUCUCUCAAGGGCAGGUCGGCUCGUCCCCGGAAAGGGGGUGAGGAUGUGACAGUAUAUGAAGCGAUUUCUCUGAUGAUUGGAUGCGGCAUGCUUGUUGCUACUAUAUUCAUCGCAGUGUUUACUGCUAUUGCUGUCAUUAAGAAAGAAAAGUAGACCUCCCUUGAGCCGUGACAAGCGAAGGAGGUCUAUUCCCUAAAGUAGCUUAUGAGCCGUCCCCUUGGGGGAACGUCUACUGUACAUACUGCUUGGUG